ACGUCAAGUUUUCACCAAGGAAUGUCUUGGUCGCUUUGGGAGCGUCACGGAAGCGCGGGUAACUCCUGGUGCUCUACUCAUGCCUCAGACUUCGCACAUACCGACACAGAUGACCUCCAUGGUACAACAGGAGAGAACAAGCAUCGCGAAACUCAACCACUGCGGAGAGUGACACCUUGAUCCCUCCUGAUUUCUGUAGUGAGUGGCAGCGACGCUCGGCUCUAGCACCUGCUGAGGAUGGUCCAGGAUCUGGCUGAUGCCAUCCAGUUCUUCCGGUUUGAACUGGCCAUGCGGGGGUCGUAAGAAAUAGAUUCAUUUUGCACUUGGUUCGGGUUGUCGAGGACUGCUGGUAUGCGGAGCCGAAAAGUUGCGACACUCCCUACAAAGUUCGCUACGAAGCCCCUGGGCCCUGACGAAAACUUCCAUGCGAGGUGUUACUGUACUUUCUUCCGUCGUCAACGUGGGAUCUAGAAAAAUUCGUCGCAGAAUGUGCGUCUUGCUGCCCAUAUCAUCGUCAUCGUCAUCGUCAUCAUACGUGGACAGGUGGAAAUAAGAGGACAGUAGUGGAAGGCAAGGGAGACGGGACACGCGUCCUAGGCCGACUUCACGGGCGUGCCAACAUCUACACAACAAGUCCAUCGUAAAACGCAAGAAAAUCCCUCAAAGCGUACAGGCGCAGUGGUGCCCCACGAUGCCACCACGUCUAACAGACCUUUCCUUGUUUUUUAAACAAAUGACGUCAUUGUGUUCGACAGCGCCACCAAUUUGGUAGAGUUGAACUACGGUUCGUCCCCGAAAGCCACGGUCUUGAGGGCAUUACGACGGUCCCUGAAAAGGACGCGACCUUCGGUCCUACUUUUCUUUCAUUAGGAUAUAGGAGGCAGCGAACAAGCGCCCUUUCGUAGAACCCAGCCUUCGCCUUCCGAUUUGUUUCGGUUUCGAUCUGUCUACCAACGUCAUGAUGACGUUUCUCGGGUAGAGGUCAUGGCUCUAUAGGCCUAAACGUAUUACUAUAGGCCCGGGACUGCUACAAUAUAGAUACCGCUCGUUUAUAUGCUGUGCUGCUUUGCUGCUAACUUUCGCAAGGGUUCGACCGAACAACAGUAUGGGGCAGGUUAAAGUCGUGCGGAACACAAAUUUCGCCAUUAUUGUAGCCUCGCGGUUCCCCGAGGAGAGAGUAAUUGUAUGUCCAUGCAUGCCCGGAGACGCCUUCGCGUAUAGUUGUGCUGCGUUUCAUAAAACAGUGAAAGUGCCAUAAAUUGGAAGAAACGCGACCAUUUUGCGGCGUUAGCGUGAAUACUUAAGCGGCAUCCGGCCGCUCGGAAAUGGUGUCAUAACUCAUAAAACCUUCAAGUGGC